rnacentral:rRNA from 1 species
UACAGAGGGUGCAAGCGUUAAUCGGAAUUACUGGGCGUAAAGCGUGCGUAGACGGUUAUGUAAGUCAGAUGUGAAAGCCCCGGGCUCAACCUGGGAAUUGCAUUUGAGACUGCAUAGCUAGGGUGCGGAAGAGGGAAGCGGAAUUUCGGGUGUAGCGGUGAAAUGCGCAGAUAUCCGAAGGAACACCGGUGGCGAAGGCGGCUUCCUGGACCGACACUGACGCUGAGGCGCGAAAGCUAGGGGAGCAAACGGG